UGGUCCUUGAGGAGGGGGAUUCUGGAUUGUUGAAUCUGUCUUUAGUUUGUUCUAAAUUCAGAAGUCUGGUGGAUACAGACUCAUUUAGGAGGAGGGCACACUUCUGCUGGCUUGACAGUGUAACAAAUUGGAGAGGGAAGACUUGUCAAGAGUAUUAUCAGAUGUACACACUGCAGCCCUGCAGACACUGCAAUGACAUUUACAAGAACUGCUUACCAGGUUAUGUUGGAAGAGGAAAACGAGGAGAAAUCCAAGGCUUUUACUCGGAAAACACCCAUCCAGGG